rnacentral:rRNA from 1 species
GACGAACGCUGGCGGCGUGCUUAACACAUGCAAGUCGAACGGAAAGGCCCUGCUUUUGUGGGGUGCUCGCGUGGCGAACGGGUGAGUAACACGUGAGUAACCUGCCCUUGACUUUGGUAUAACUUCAGGAAACUGGGGCUAAUACCGGAUAGGAGCUCCUGCUGCAUGGUGGGGUUUGGAAAGUUUCGGCGGUUGGGGAUGGACUCGCGGCUUAUCAGCUUGUUGGUGGGGUAGUGGCUUACCAAGGCUUUGACGGGUAGCCGGCCUGAGAGGGUGACCGGCCACAUUGGGACUGAGAUACGGCCCAGACUCCUACGGGAGGCAGCAGUGGGGAAUAUUGCACAAUGGGCGGAAGCCUGAUGCAGCAACGCCGCGUGCGGGAUGACGGCCUUCGGGUUGUAAACCGCUUUCGCCUGUGACGAAGCGUGAGUGACGGUAAUGGGUAAAGAAGCACCGGCUAACUACGUG